rnacentral:snRNA from 1 species
AUCUUUCCGACACUACUUCAGAG